GGAGGAGGAGGGGCGACGGGGAACUUGGGCUGGCUGCUGGCGCUAGGCGAGGAAGAAGUGGCGUCAGGAACCUGGACUCAACUGGAAGAGGAGAAGGUGAUGGCAAAGCAUCAUCAUCAGCAGCAUCAUGAAACAGAAGUAGGACAUGUUGGAGAAGAGGAUGCAAUCUGGGCGACAGAUUGAUGUGCUUGGAAAAGUUUCUUGUAGUUCCACUCAUCAAAUUGAUGUGAUUAUGUGGUAGUACUAGGCUGCAUUCUCUUCGUGUGCAAGUAAAUAGUACUAGUUGAUUAGUAUAUCAGACAACCUGAUUCAUUCAAGGUGAACUUGUUGUUACCAGAUCAUUUGUACUGUACUAGUAGCUCAUGUAAUGCUGACAGUGGCGGAGCUGAUCCAAUAUUCAAGUGUGAAACUGUGAA